AUAAUAGCAGAGUGAUGCAGACGGAGUGUUGUCUGAUUUUUGUCUCCUUAUUGUAAAUAGCCAGAAUUGUAAAUAGAAUUCCAACAAAAUUGUCUGCAUCACCACCUUCUGUUACAGCACAUCCCAUUCCAGUUUAGCUUGGAAGAGCUGCUUAAUUAAGGAAUUACUUCUUUAAUCAAGGUUCAAAUUGGAGGCCAAGACAAGAUGAACAAUCUCUCAGAAACUUGGAUUGUCAGAUGUAGUAUAGAGGGCAUGAAUUCAAGAUCUCUGGUUAAAUUUCAAGAAAAGCAAGGUGUUGGCUGAGCUUGACUUUAUCGUCGGGACAGGAAGGUUCUCGAGAUUCACUGGCAUAUUUCAAGUAUGGUAAAGCCAGCCCAGGUGUAACUGCUGAUUGUAAUGUCCUCCGCUGUAGAAUGGUAGGACACAGGUGGUGGUGGCUGUGACUCCAAGACAGUUCUAAGCUUGAUGGCAAGGAAAGCAAGCUUCUGGAUGAACUGAACAAAUUGUGCUUUGGAGUUUCUGAUGUCAUUUGUGGUGAAGUCUGAAGGAUUCUGGAAAUGGCAGCAAUGCCAGAUGGCAUUUCCAUGAUGAAGUGGACAUCAGCUAGAACUUGAUCAUCAUUCUUGCUCAAAUUCAGCUGGAGAUGGAGGUCUUGAGCUUUCUGGAAAAUGUUAGCAAAGCAAGCGGAGAUUUCCAAUAUGAAGUAGACAUCUGCUAAAACUUACUUUUGCUCUUUCUACAAAAUCAGGAGACUGAUGCAAAUUCAAGGAAUGGAGAGUACAUUGACAGUGAUGGCAAUGGAUGACGACAUCAACCAAAAUGGUUGGCAAGCAGUGGCAGCAGGGCAGAGCAUGUUUUGCAACGGCUCUUGUCACUUCUGGGAAAAGGAUCACAAGAACAGAUUGGCAAAUAUGAAAUGGAUUCAGAGACUGGUAACACGACAGAGCAUCACUAAUAGCACCGUUUCAAGAAAGAGGGUCACAAGAAAGGUUUGGUUGUCUUGUCAGCAUUUUGAACAAGACUGAAAAUUAUGCUGUUUUUAUGGAUGAAAUUGUUGUUUUUUUAAGAGGUGCUGUAUGUUUAAAAAUGCAUCCUUAUGUCAAACAUGACUUUUUAAGAAGGUAAAUUUUUCAUUCAAAACUCACCACAUGUUGUAUUGUGUAGGGAUAAUAGUACGGGGUAAUGUUUCAUGAAACAUGUAGUGAUGACGUCAAAUUUUCAAUGAGCCAAUCAGGUGCAAGGAUUUCAGCGUUUAUGACAAUAGUCAUUAUUAUUUUUGUAAUGCUCUCCAGUCAUGUAGUAUGGAUGUAAAAUAUAGAGCAGCCAAAAUGCAGAUGUAUAAGUUUUUACCUGAAACUUCUCUCCCUCUAGCACUGGGGUGUACAUCCAUUAUAUCAAUUUUCUAGGCUUUAAUACCCUACACAUACAUUUGUGCUCUAUAGUUAGUGAACCCCCACCACAAAAUGCACUCCUUCAUGCUGAGCGUUGAAUGUAGAAAUAAUGCCACAUUGUUCGGCAAGCCCAGAGAAACAAAACUUUUUUUAAUGUAAUAUUCAAUCACCUGACUGCACAAUUAAAUGUAUAAAACAUGGCAGAACUUGAACACUUAAAAUAUGUUCAUUUCUGCUGGGGUGCACUAACUCUUUGAGCACCACUGUACAUGCAUGAGGCUGUUAUAGAAAGUGGCCUGAUACCGCCAAAGAUAACCACAACAUCCUGCAUUGUCCCAUUUACAAGUCUUUUUUUUGUGUGUGUGGGGGGGGGGGGUUCUAUGAAAGAUGCCCAAAUGUUUGGAGAUGAACAAUUUGGUUAUGGGGAUGUAAAGCAUUAACAAGUUCUUACAAGUGGGGAUCUAUGCGGGGUGGGGGAGGGGAGGUUCUUUUAAUUUGGGUAAUCAUAUUUGUAUCACUAGUUUUAAUAUACAUGUAGUAAAAGGGAAUCUUAUUUGAACUUUCCUCACCACGAAACCAUGGCCAGUCAUACUAUUCUUACAACCCCUUAUCCUCAUGCAGUCACAAAGUAAAUUUAUAUGAAAUACAUGCCUAGGAGAUGUUUCAUAAAGCUGUUCGUAAAGUUACGCAUGACUUUACACACGACUGGAACAUGUUCUUAGGUCAUAACUCAAUUACAUAGGGAUAUCACAAAGCACAAGAAAGAAUCACCAGUCGUGCGUAAAGUCACUCGUAUCUUAUGAACAGCUUUAUGAAACACCCACCUGGUCUCUCCUGUACAUAACCAAUCAAUUGAACCGAUCAAUCGAAUUGAUCAUUUUCGCCAUUUUAAAGCCAGUUUUAGUGCCUUGAGGCAUAUCUUAGUGAUUUUCUGGUCUCUUUAUACAUGUGUAAACAAAAUACUGCAGUAAAGUCGAACAAUCUGCUCAGAUUUUGAAAGAAUAAUCAAAGAAUGAAUGGAUACUGUGAACUAUUGUUAAUGAAUUUUAGGGCUUUGUCAGGUUAUUAUAAAUUUAUUUUGCAUAAAAACUCUUUUGCAAAUGCAGCGAGUUUGGGAGAAGGAACUGGGAUAUAUGUGUUGUAGCUUCUUGCUACGUGUCGGUUGGCCGACAGUCGAGUCAUUGAUGACAGAGCAGUCUGAACAGUUGCAUGGUGUCAGUCCUGGACUUCAUCUGAUGCGAUGUGGGUGCAGGUUAUGAAAUAGCUGUUAUACUGCAGACCAUUCCAGAAAUCCUCUUUCUCCAUUCCCUGUGUGGCUUCCGCACUUUGCCCUAGGUAACAGUACAGAGUUUCAAAGUCGAUACACCAACAGAAAUAUAUUCACAGAAUUUGGUGUGGCUUAUGUUGUACUUUAUUAAUCUUCAUUCCAGUCCAAAAAUUUGAUAGAAAAUAAUGAAAGUAUCAGACUCUCUGAUUAGAAACUAUAAUGAAGCUUGUACUACCUAGUGCUCAACACCUAACGAACAAUUAACUUGAUCAACGCGAUACAAAUUACAAUAAUGAAGGAUGGACAUGCAGUUUUCUCUUAGACUUGGCUUUCUCUACCUAUACUUGUAACACACACCAAACCCUAUGGAACUUCAUGUGGAAAAGGAUUAAGAAAAAGCUAUAGUGCAAAAAUGAAACAUCUAGUGGAAAUUCAAUAAAACAAGAUAUAUCACAAAAUAAUAUAGACAGCAUAAAAAUAACGUAGGUCUCAUGGCACACUACUGCAGUGACAGCCUGAUUGAAAACUGAUGCUUCCUUCUCCUUCAGUUGUGUAGGUAGCAGUUUCUCCUGACAAGCUGGGUGCUCUUCUCCCAAAAGGAUGUUUGUUAAUAGAUAGGUCCCAAUACUUUAUUUUUCUGGAUUUCUCAAAUCUAUUCAAUCGGAUGUAACUUUGAGUCUCCUCUGUAGUACAGCACGACUCCCAUGGCACCCAGGCUUUUCUCCUGCCAGAGCUUUCCAUAGAAGUACUGGUUGAGCCCUGAUCUAUGUUUUUUAAAAAAGAUACUAUUGGCUUAAUAGAAGUCAAAAGUUCAUCCCUUAGUUUACCCCGAGUCUGGUCACCUUCAUCCAGUGCAGCUGCUUGUCUUGGCAGUAGCCUUACCUUUCACUCGAAGGUCUGAUAUACGAUCUUGAGUGUGGCCUCUAUCCCCUCGAUGUGGCGUAGGAGACUGUGUAGUCUGUCUCCCAUCAUCUCCCGCAAGUCGAAUUACAGAUAGCCUUCAAAAUCGAGGCAGUUUAAUUUUUCAGGUUUUAGCCACAUGAUGCUUGCUGUUUGGAUGUAAAAAAGUUCUCUCAGCCCCAUGUCAAAUUGACUGGUGACAGGUGCCACUUUCAACCUCUCCUUUUACAAGUCCAUUUUCAAUUGUAUUUUUAUCCUGCGACACUGCAGUCGAUCUCACGCAGGAUUGAUGGAACCGCUUCCCUUU